rnacentral:rRNA from 1 species
GAUGAAAGCUAGCGGCAGGCCUAAUACAUGCAAGUCGAGGGGCAGUUUUAGUUUUCGGACUAAAAGCGACCGGCAAACGGGUGCGUAACGCGUAUGGAAUCUACCUUGUACAGAGGGAUAGGUCCCGGAAAUGGGAAUUAAUACCUCAUAUUAUUCCAAGAGCGCAUGUUUUUGGAAAGAAAGCGAUAGUGGUACAAGCUGAUCAUGCGUCCCAUUAGCUAGUUGGUGAGAUAAGAGCUCACCAAGGCGACGAUGGGUAGGGGUUCUGAGAGGAAGAUCCCCCACACUGGCACUGAGACACGGGCCAGACUCCUACGGGAGGCAGCAGUAGGGAAUAUUGGUCAAUGGGCGGAAGCCUGAACCAGCCAUGCCGCGUGCAGGAAGAAGGCCCUCAGGGUUGUAAACUGCUUUUGUACAGGAACAAAGAGCUCUUGCGAGAGCAGAUGAGAAUACUGUAAGAAUAAGCACCGGCUAACUCCGUGCCAGCCGCCGCGUAACAC